GACAAAAUUGACCUUAGUGAGGUAGUUAAAAACAGUUUUUUUUAUUCGGACGGCAAUAUGAAAAUGUGGGUAUAAGAUCAUGCGCACCCAAGGAGUAACUUCAACACUUCGGCUGCUGCAAACAAAGAAGAUGGUUUGUGGUCGUUACGUAUUAGUUGCUCUGACUCUAUUUUGCCUCCUCUCUUCGUCACAGUUAGGAGGUCCGACAUGCGUUCUUGCAAGUGGCUGGAAAAGACUAAGUCACGGUUACAUCACAAGAACUACUCGUUCUACUACACGGAGCACAACACGCCGCCCUAAUGGGAAAUCAUGCGGAUAAAAGGCUCCAAAUUCUCCAAGAUUUUGGUUACAGAAUACAAGACAGCGAGAUCAAUGUGGAAAAUGCCAAAAUAAAUAAACCAUUUAUUUUCUUACGA